AUACAAUAAACUAAAACUGCAAGUUCAAAUCAAGUCUCUGGAGUACAUCCACAGCUGGGAUGCAUCAUCAGUCCUUUGUUUAGAGAUUCCGUUUGUAGCGAAAUCCCUCCAGAAGUAUGAAGCUGGACUGAGGACAAGAUGGAGAUGAGGCAUCAGCCUUUUACAG